UACUCCUACGGGAGGCAGCAGUAGGGAAUCUUCGGCAAUGGGGGCAACCCUGACCGAGCAACGCCGCGUGAGUGAAGAAGGUUUUCGGAUCGUAAAGCUCUGUUGUAAGAGAAGAACGGAUGUGGGAGUGGAAAGUUCACACAGUGACGGUAACUUACCAGAAAGGGACGGCUAACUACGUGCCAGCAGCCGCGGUAAU
rnacentral:rRNA from 1 species